GAUGAACGCUGGCGGCGUGCCUAAUACAUGCAAGUCGAGCGAAUGGAUUAAGAGCUUGCUCUUAUGAAGUUAGCGGCGGACGGGUGAGUAACACGUGGGUAACCUGCCCGUAAGACUGGGAUAACUCCGGGAAACCGGGGCUAAUACCGGAUAACAUUUUGAACCGCAUGGUUCGAAAUUGAAAGGCGGCUUCGGCUGUCACUUAUGGAUGGACCCGCGUCGCAUUAGCUAGUUGGUGAGGUAACGGCUCACCAAGGCAACGAUGCGUAGCCGACGUGAGAGGGUGAUCGGCCACACCGGGACUGAGACACGGCCCAGACUCCUACGGGAGGCAGCAGUAGGGAAUCUUCCGCAAUGGACGAAAGUCUGACGGAGCAACGCCGCGUGAGUGAUGAAGGCUUUCGGGUCGUAAAACUCUGUUGUUAGGGAAGAACAAGUGCUAGUUGAAUAAGCUGGCACCUUGACGGUACCUAACCAGAAAGCCACGGCUAACUACGUGCCAGCCGCCGCGGUAA
rnacentral:rRNA from 1 species